GUGGAGAAAUGUAUGAUACUUCAAGACUAUGAAGCUGAUUAUAUUAGGUCCACCCAGUGGCUUUUGACUACUUGAGGGUCAGAUGGUUGUGAAUUCAUGCCUCAACUUUGUGGCCGGAUUUGCAGUCUUAUUACAACUUCAGUCUUUUGUCCCGGGAGCAGGCAUCUUUUGCACACUUGAAUUUUUUCAAAGAUGUUUUCUUGGAAUCACAACACUCACUGGAUACAAGACGGAAACAUAGAGGCAAAACAAGUGGAAAGGUCUCAGAGGGACAACCCUCGUGUGUGUGCUCAUCUCAGAAAGUUGAUGGACUUUCAGUAUGUAUUUAUUAACAUAAGCUCAAACAACAGAAUUUGUGAUUU
ensembl:lncRNA